rnacentral:rRNA from 1 species
GAUGAACGCUGGCGGCGUGCUUAACACAUGCAAGUCGAACGGAAAGGCCCAAGCUUGCUUGGGUACUCGAGUGGCGAACGGGUGAGUAACACGUGGGUGAUCUGCCCUGCACUUCGGGAUAAGCCUGGGAAACUGGGUCUAAUACCGGAUAGGACCACAUUUUGGAUGGUGUGGUGGAAAGUUUUUCGGUGUGGGAUGAGCUCGCGGCCUAUCAGCUUGUUGGUGGGGUAAUGGCCUACCAAGGCGUCGACGGGUAGCCGGCCUGAGAGGGUGUACGGCCACAUUGGGACUGAGAUACGGCCCAGACUCCUACGGGAGGCAGCAGUGGGGAAUAUUGCACAAUGGGCGCAAGCCUGAUGCAGCGACGCCGCGUGGGGAUGACGGCCUUCGGGUUGUAAACUCCUGUCGCUAGGGACGAAGCGUUUUUGUGACGGUACCUGGAGAAGAAGCACCGGCUAACUACGUG